GCUAGCUGCGGUGAGGAGAAAGCGGGCUGCCAGGCCAAAAGGGGAAUGGAGAGAAGAAACGAAGGGAAACAGCUGAAGAACUACUCUUCCUCAACCAGUUACAGCUUGGGAGGACUGCCUAUCAAUUCAUCCUGCCUUCCAGCAGUCAAAGGCUCAGUUUCCUCAUCUCCAAAGUGAAGACUUGCACUAGAUCUCAGAAUGAAAUCCUGUCCUUGUAGAAAGCUCUUUUUUCUAGGAGGGAUACAUGCCUGAUUCAUCUUGGUAUAAUCAGUAACCAGAGUCCCUUGUGUUUUAUAAUUAUUUAAUAAAUAUUUGUUUAAUAAUAACAUAAGAAAAAAGAUGAACUGUAUAAUUACUGAAAUGGAAAGAUGUCCACAAUACUGUGUAUUUAAAUGAAAAACAAAUAGAUUAUGUAUGAUCUACAGAUUUGAUGUGAUCCCUAUCCCAGCUAACUUCUUUGAAGAAAUUGACAAGCUGAUCGUCAAAUUCAUAUGAAAACUUAAGGGACCUGGAAAAGCCAAAAUAAACUUGAAAGUUGGAGGACUCACACUUCCCUAUAUCAAGACUUACCAUAAGCUACAGUAAUACUGUGAUACUGGCAUAAGAAUACACACAUGUAUCAAUGGGAUAAAAUUGAAAUUCCAGAACUAAAACCUUAUAUGUAUUUAUAGUCAGUUGAUUUUUGACGAGAGUGCUAAGACAGUUCAUUGAGGGAAAGAACAGUCUUUUCAACAAAUGGUGCUGGGACAAUUGGAUACACUCAUGAAAUUGUAUCUUCAAUGCUCAGGAUGUCCUUGGGUUUCUUCAAUAUGACACCAAAAGUGCAAACAACAAAAUAAAAAGAUAAACCAGACUCAUCAAAAUUAAAAACUUUGUGCAACUAAUGAUGCCAUUGAGAA